rfam:Perkinsus marinus ATCC 50983 gcontig_1104296547708, whole genome shotgun sequence.
GCCUCGGUAGUUCAGUUUGCAGAGCGCGUGCCUCUUAAGCCCGUGGCCGCGGGUUCGAGCCCCGCCCGAGGUG